AGCAGCCGCGGUAAUUCCAGCUCCAAUAGCGUAUAUUAAAGUUGUUGCAGUUAAAAGCUCGUAGUUGAAUUUCGGGGUUAGUAGGUUGGUCAUGCCUCUGGUAUGUACUGGUCUCACUGAUUCCUCCUUCCUGAUGAACCUUAAUGCCAUUUAUUUGGUGUUUUGGGGAAUUUGGACUGUUACUUUGAAAAUUAGAGUGUUUAAAGCAAGCUAACGCUUGAAUACAUUAGCAUGGAAUAAUGAAAUAGGACGUUCGAUCCUAUUUUGUUGGUUUCUAGGAUUGACGUAAUGGUUAAUAGGGAUAGUUGGGGGCAUUAGUAUUCAAUUGUCAGAGGUGAAAUUUUUGGAUUUAUUGAAGACUAACUACUGCGAAAGCAUUUGCCAAGGAUGUUUUCAUUAAUCAAGAACGAAAGUUAGGGGAUCGAAGACGUUCAGAUACCGUCGUAGUCUUAACCAUAAACUAUGCCGACUAGGGAUCGGAUGAUGUUAAUUUUUUAAUGACUCAUUCGGCGCCUUACGG
rnacentral:rRNA from 1 species